rnacentral:rRNA from 1 species
GAUGAACGCUGGCGGCGUGCCUAAUACAUGCAAGUCGAGCGAACAGACGAGGGGCUUGCUCCUCUGACGUUAGCGGCGGACGGGUGAGUAACACGUGGAUAACCUACCUAUAAGACUGGGAUAACUUCGGGAAACCGGAGCUAAUACCGGAUAAUAUAUUGAACCGCAUGGUUCAAUAGUGAAAGACGGUUUUGCUGUCACUUAUAGAUGGAUCCGCGCCGCAUUAGCUAGCUGGUAAGGUAACGGCUUACCAAGGCAACGAUGCGUAGCCGACCUGAGAGGGUGAUCGGCCGCACUGGAACUGAGACACGGUCCAGACUCCUACGGGAGGCAGCAGUAGGGAAUCUUCCGCAAUGGGCGAAAGCCUGACGGAGCAACGCCGCGUGAGUGAUGAAGGUCUUCGGAUCGUAAAACUCUGUUAUUAGGGAAGAACAAAUGUGUAAGUAACUAUGCACGUCUUGACGGUACCUAAUCAGAAAGCCACGGCUAACUACGUG